rnacentral:rRNA from 1 species
UGGGGAAUAUUGGACAAUGGGCGAAAGCCUGAUCCAGCAAUGCCGCGUGGGUGAAGAAGGCCUUCGGGUUGUAAAGCCCUUUCAGUAAGGAAGAUUAUGACUGUACUUACAGAAGAAGCCCCGGCUAACUCCGUGCCAGCAGCCGCGGUAAGACGGAGGGGGCUAGCGUUGUUCGGAAUUAUUGGGCGUAAAGAGUAUGUAGGCGGUUUGAUAAGUUGGAAGUGAAAGCCCAGAGCUCAACUCUGGAAUUGCUUUCAAAACUAUUGGACUAGAGUGAGGUAGAGGGUGAUGGAAUUCCUAGUGUAGAGGUUAAAUUCUUAGAUAUUAGGAGGAACACCGAAUGCGAAAGCGGUCACCUGGGCCUAUACUGACGCUGAGAUACGAAAGCGUGGGGAGCAAACAGG